UUUUAACAUAAUCUGCCCAUUUUAGGGAGAGAAGACAAUGAUGUGAAAUCACCUGGAUCGUAAUGCACAGCAUGAAAAAAAAAAAAAGGCCAUAAUGUUAACAGUCAUUAUUUCUGCAUGCUGAUGCAGACACAUUGGCUUUCCUGAGGCUCCCAUCAUAAAAUAAUCACAGGCUGCCCUGAGAAAGGACUUGAGUGGAAAGGUAUCUGGAUCCAGUUCCUGGGAUACAUCUUUCAUCCACAGCAGAGCUCCUCUGUAUUCUGUGCGUGCCUGUUCCAUCCGAUUAAUUGUCAUCAACGUGUCAGAUACGGC